rnacentral:rRNA from 1 species
ACACUCCUGCGGGAGGCAGCAGUGGGGAAUAUUGCACAAUGGGCGCAAGCCUGAUGCAGCCAUGCCGCGUGUAUGAAGAAGGCCUUCGGGUUGUAAAGUACUUUCAGCGGGGAGGAAGGCGAUAAGGUUAAUAACCUUGUCGAUUGACGUUACCCGCAGAAGAAGCACCGGCUAACUCCGUGCCAGCAGCCGCGGUAAUACGGAGGGUGCAAGCGUUAAUCGGAAUUACUGGGCGUAAAGCGCACGCAGGCGGUCUGUCAAGUCGGAUGUGAAAUCCCCGGGCUCAACCUGGGAACUGCAUUCGAAACUGGCAGGCUAGAGUCUUGUAGAGGGGGGUAGAAUUCCAGGUGUAGCGGUGAAAUGCGUAGAGAUCUGGAGGAAUACCGGUGGCGAAGGCGGCCCCCUGGACAAAGACUGACGCUCAGGUGCGAAAGCGUGGGGAGCAAACAGGAUUAGAUACCCGUGUAGUCCCAU